rnacentral:rRNA from 1 species
GACGAACGCUGGCGGCGUGCUUAACACAUGCAAGUCGAACGGAAAGGCCCUGCUUUUGUGGGGUGCUCGAGUGGCGAACGGGUGAGUAACACGUGAGUAACCUGCCCUUGACUUUGGGAUAACUUCAGGAAACUGGGGCUAAUACCGGAUAGGAGCUCCUGCUGCAUGGUGGGGGUUGGAAAGUUUCGGCGGUUGGGGAUGGACUCGCGGCUUAUCAGCUUGUUGGUGGGGUAGUGGCUUACCAAGGCUUUGACGGGUAGCCGGCCUGAGAGGGUGACCGGCAACAUUGGGACUGAGAUACGGCCCAGACUCCUACGGGAGGCAACAGUGGGGAAUAUUGCACAAUGGGCGGAAGCCUGAUGCAGCAACGCCGCGUGCGGGAUGACGGCCUUCGGGUUGUAAACCGCUUUCGCCUGUGACGAAGCGUGAGUGACGGUAAUGGGUAAAGAAGCACCGGCUAACUACGUG